rnacentral:rRNA from 1 species
GAUGAACGCUGGCGGCGCGCCUAACACAUGCAAGUCGAACGGCACCCCUCCUCGGAGGGAAGCGAGUGGCGAACGGCUGAGUAACACGUGGCGAACCUGCCCCCUCCCCCGGGAUAGCCGCCCGAAAGGACGGGUAAUACCGGAUACCCCGGGGUGCCGCAUGGCACCCCGGCUAAAGCCCCGACGGGAGGGGAUGGCUCCGCGGCCCAUCAGGUAGACGGCGGGGUGACGGCCCACCGUGCCGACAACGGGUAGCCGGGUUGGGAGACCGACCGGCCAGGUUGGGACUAAGACACGGCCCAGACUCCUACGGGAGGCAGCAGUGGGGAAUCUUGCGCAAUGGGGGGAACCCUGACGCAGCGACGCCGCGUGCGGGACGGAGGCCGUCGGGUCGUAAACCGCUUUCAGCAGGGAAGAGUCAAGACUGUACCUGCAGAAGAAGCCCCGGCUAACUACGUG